AUUUAAAUACCUUAACGAGGAACAAUUAGAGGGCAAGUCUGGUGCCAGCAGCCGCGGUAAUUCCAGCUCUGAUAGUAUAUAUUAAAGUUGUUGCAGUUAAAAAGCUCGUAGUUGAAACUUGGGUGCGUAGGGGCGGUCUCUUUUAGAGUACUACCCUGAAACAUCUUUCUUUGGUGUAAACUUUCUAUUUAUUUAGGAAGUGUAAACCAAACAUUUACUUUGAAAAAAUUAGAGUGUUCAAAGCAGGCCUUUGCUCGAAUAUAUUAGCAUGGAAUAAUAGAAUAGGACGUAUGGUUCUAUUUUGUUGGUUUCUAGGACCGUCGUAAUGAUUAAUAGGGACGGUCGGGGGCAUCAGUAUUCAGUUGUCAGAGGUGAAAUUCUUGGAUUUACUGAAGACUAACUACUGCGAAAGCAUUUGCCAAGGACGUUUUCAUUAAUCAAGAACGAAAGUUAGGGGAUCGAAGACGAUCAGAUACCGUCGUAGUCUUAACCGUAAACUAUGCCGACUAGGGAUCGGAGGGCGUUAUAAUAACCUCUCCGGCACCUUACGAGAAAUCAAAGUUUUUGGGUUCUGGGGGGAGUAUGGUUGCAAGGCUGAAACUUAAAGGAAUUGACGGAAGGGCACCACCAGGAGUGGAGCCUGCGGCUUAAUUUGACCCAACACGGGGAAACUCACCAGGUCCAGACACAAUAAGGAUUGACAGAUUGAGAGCUCUUUCAUGAUUUUGUGGGUGGUGGUGCAUGGCCGUUCUUAGUUGGUGGAGUGAUUUGUCUGCUUAAUUGCGAUAACGAACGAGACCUUAACCUGCUAAAUAGCUGUAACAAUAGAUUAUUGUUUUGACAGCUUCUUAAAGGGACUAUCGAUUUUCAAGUCGAUGGAAGUUUGAGGCAAUAACAGGUCUGUGAUGCCCUUAGACGUUCUGGGCCGCACGCGCGCUACACUGACGGAGCCAGCGAGUCUAACCUGUGCCGAGAGGUAUGGGUAAUCUUGUGAAACUCCGUCGUGCUGGGGAUGGAGCAUUGCAUUUAUUGCUCUUCAACGAGGAAUUCCUAGUAAGCGCAAGUCAUCAGCUUGCGUUGAUUACGUCCCUGCCCUUUGUACACACCGCCCGUCGCUACUACCGAUUGAAUGGCUUAGUGAGGCUUCCGGAUUGAUUAACUGGAGAGGGCAACUUUUCUGGUUGAACGAGAAGCUAGUCAAACUUGGUCAUUUAGA
rnacentral:rRNA from 1 species